GUUGUGUCCCAUUUGAUACGUGGAUUUCGGAUCGGCGUUGUGUUCUUCAAUGAUGCUGUGGAUCCUCUCGAAGUUGGAUUUGGACUUUCCAUAUUCAGCUUUGGUCUUGAUUCCCAACGGGCUAUAAAGUUUUACCAAAUAUUGUUGCCAAGCGUCUUCCACGUCGCCGUACUGAACGUACGUACACGUAACCCCACAGACAACUACCAGCAAGGCGAUAAGGAAGCCGAGCUGCAAUCAGUUUUCCUGGCCGUGGGCGACAGUUAAUAUCCGGUUGUAACUAUUUAGAUAGAACUGGUUUUCUUCUGGGCGUGGCCUUUUUUUAGUUUGUUAUUUUACCCUUUAACGGCACAUCUUUUUUUAAUGUGAAGGUUUAAGUUAAUGCCUCUUUCCUACAUAAUGUUAUUUGAAAGUGGCAAUUUUUAAAAAAAUAUUUUGAAAUUGAAUUCGCAAAUUUUUGAAUAACUCGAUAAACAUUAAAAACUAUUUUGUGUGUCAUUGCCCAAGGCAGUAAAGGCGUAAAGACCUUCGGUCGCCUUUGCGGUGAUUGUUGAACGCACCCGACCUAUUUGUGAACGAUGAUUGGCAAAUAUUCAAAAAAGAUUUCACGCACUCUGCACAUUUACUCAAUCCCGAAUCGGUCGCUAACUCCAACACACAAUCUGCACUAGUCACUUCCAAGGCCGUCGAAUCAAACCAUUUUCGUCUCUUUUCUUCGAGAGCAGAGAGAGAUAAGAGUUUUGUUGAAGAGUUUCGCUCUCUUGUUUUGUUCAAACAAGUGCUGGGUCCUUCACUUUUCGGAGCCCUGGUUUUCCCAGAUCACGUAACCAUUGGCGGGAAAAUUCAGAAAUCGGCAAUGGCAACAUUGGUUCUUCCCAGUUCUUUUCUUCUUCAACUAAUCAGUCUUCACAAAUGAGAUGAGGAAUUGAGGAUAGUUUGCUGGUUCAUUUUAAUCUUUGGCCAUGCCUCGGUUACUCAAAACUCAGCGUUUCGUCUAGGCUUCCAACUCAUCAUGGUGUUUCCCGUAAUGUUGUUUUUGUUCCUUGAUUGUCCAAAAUCAGUGGCCCCGUCCCCUUAGUACACGUGGUCGUGGCCUAUACUCCCGUGCCAUUCAUGUGGUAAAGCAGCCAAGUCAACGAAAUGCUGAAAUCAUCCCAGAACUCCAACGUAACAUCUGCACCAGAAGUGAGCAUUAUUAGGGCAAUUGUUACAUUGAUCACUUACAACAGCUCAAGCUAUUGGCAACAUCAACCCCUAUAUACCUGAACUACUGAACCUGGGCUACCCAAAAGAGCAGAAAUACCCACCUCCAGUUUACACGUGGAUCAACACUGACCACAACUUCUUAUCUGGCAACAGUCGAACAAAGUUGGUGUUAAAGAAAACCACUAGCCAGUGAGAAGAAUGUCGACAUUAGCGACGAAAAUUGCUGACUCAACGAGCCAGCCCAGUUUUGGCCUACAUGUACCAGAGUUCGAGAAAACUGGAGAUUCUUUUAUACUACCUGCUGGCUCACUUGGAAACCGAGUGCAAACAAAUUUAAAUCAAUCUUCAGACAUGAGACACUGGGUUCAUUUGGGACUGGUAUAAAUGCAAAUAACACUUCUCCCAUAAGAGCCGCUGUUGAAAUUGUGUGUUUCGAGUGUCAUCUCUUCGAAUUCUAUUUUCUUAAUGGAGAGGUUAUUAGCUACUACCGAGCGACGAGAAAUAUUAAUAUUUCUUCCGGACGAGAAUUUCCACUGUUAAUCAAUUAGGCAAGCAAGGUACCUACUCAGGUGUAAACGGAUCGAUCCUUAAUGAAACAGACAUGUGGAGCGGAAUUCCGGCACUGCAUCCUCCUCUUCUCCACUUCUUCCCUUUUCGCUUUCCCUCCGUCCUUAUAUGUGAAUUUAUUCACAAGGGCGCUUAUUCCUCCUACUCCUUUCACUUGUGGUGCUAAUGGAUGCAUCCAUACCAAUACUGUUACGGAAUCUAAGAGGAUUUGGCCGUCGGCUGAAGGUAACGGCUCAAAUUUUAAUUAAAAUCCUGAGGUGCUGGAUGAAGCAUUGACUGCGGGAUGGGUUGUUUUUUCCGAUUUUUCUUCUUUUAGCGUUCUUCUAACAUUUUUUUUUCAUCCACUGGCGCAACGUUACUCUCUGCCUAGCAUUACUGAAAUCUUCCAUUUCCAUCCAGGCAUGUCAAACACUUUCAGUUGGAAAGAUUGAGGCUUUCAUUUGUCAUUUUCUAUUCCAGUGGCUAUUUGCGAUUUAAUCCUUUUUUAAAAUUGGUUUUUCCUCCAGUGAGUCUUUUCAAAAUUCAAAAUAACAAUAUUGAGUAAUAGAUAAUGGGUUCCUUUUCAAUGUGUGUCGCUUGCUUCUGCCCAUGUAUUUUUUUUACUAUUUGCUGAUGGCACAAGUUUGUAGCCAUUUCAGUGAGUUAUUUUCCAUGGGCGAUCUGGGGUUGAUUUUAGUGACAAGUUGAGUCGUCAUCCACUCUGCAGAAGUUUCUAGACAUGGUACUUGAACAUUCAACUUUAAAAAUCAGUGUUGAAAACUUUGAAUUCCUUGCGAUACCAGUAACUACCUCACGUGCACGGUAUUAAUGAACCUGGUUCCCUUUUCGUAUGAUUUCACUUGCAAUUAAACAAAUAAUGAAAUAAAUAAAUAACCAGUGAAUGGAGAAUUUCAUAGAUAAGUCACUAUAGCG